rnacentral:rRNA from 1 species
UACGGGGGGGGCAAGCGUUGUUCGGAAUUACUGGGCGUAAAGGGCUCGUAGGUGGCCAACUAAGUCAGACGUGAAAUCCCUCGGCUCAACCGGGGAACUGGCAUCUGAUACUGGAUGGCUUGAGAUUGGGAGAGGGAUGCGGAAUUCCAGGUGUAGCGGUGAAAUGCGUAGAUAUCUGGAGGAACACCGGUGGCGAAGGCGGCAUCCUGGACCAACACUGACGCUGAGGAGCGAA